rnacentral:rRNA from 1 species
UGCAAGUCGAGCGCGGGAAGCGAACGGAACUCUUCGGAGGGAAGUUCGUGGAACGAGCGGCGGACGGGUGAGUAACACGUAGGCAACCUGCCUGUAAGACUGGGAUAACUCGCGGAAACGCGAGCUAAUACCGGAUAAUACUUAUGAUCUCCUGAUGAUAAGUUGAAAGGCGGCUUUUGCUGUCACUUACAGAUGGGCCUGCGGCGCAUUAGCUAGUUGGUGGGGUAACGGCUCACCAAGGCAACGAUGCGUAGCCGACCUGAGAGGGUGAUCGGCCACACUGGGACUGAGACACGGCCCAGACUCCUACGGGAGGCAGCAGUAGGGAAUCUUCCGCAAUGGACGAAAGUCUGACGGAGCAACGCCGCGUGAGUGAUGAAGGUUUUCGGAUCGUAAAACUCUGUUGUUAGGGAAGAACAAGUGCCAUAGUAACUGAUGGCACCUUGACGGUACCUAACCAGAAAGCCACGGCUAACUACGUGCCAGCAGCCGCGGUAAUACGUAGGUGGCAAGCGUUGUCCGGAAUUAUUGGGCGUAAAGCGCUCGCAGGCGGUUCUUUAAGUCUGAUGUGAAAUCUUGCAGCUCAACUGUAAACGUGCAUUGGAAACUGGAGGACUUGAGUGCAGAAGAGGAGAGUGGAAUUCCACGUGUAGCGGUGAAAUGCGUAGAGAUGUGGAGGAACACCAGUGGCGAAGGCGACUCUCUGGUCUGUAACUGACGCUGAGGAGCGAAAGCGUGGGG